rnacentral:lncRNA from 10 species
CAUUGAUCAUGGGAUGACAUUCAUCAGGAUGCAUCUGGCAUGCGUCUGGGAGGGAUCGGGGUUGGGUGGGGCUGGACAGAGCAGGGAGAGAUGAAACAAGGGCUUGUUUUUUUUGGAGCAGACAAGGGCCUCUAUAUGCUACCUUCUAGCAGCUCAGUGGGGAAGGCGAUGCUUUCAGUAACCAUCCCAGAUCCUCCAAUGACACCUAUUCUGUGCUCGUGUGUGUUUUUCUUCACAGUUCUCCAUAAGUGCGGGACGGGUGGUGCAGCGCUGUGUAUAAUUCAAGCUGCAAUUAUGAAUUUUGGUUGGGCCUCUGCCUGUGAUAUGAGGCUGACCAAAGAACAAGUCUGUCAUUUGUUUCCGGUAUGUGUUUAGAAAAUAAGCUAGGCUACAAAAUCAUAGGAUUAGCUGAGCUCUUCCUUCCUGGGAGAAAAGUACAGGAUAGAGGCUGUGAAGGAAACACAAGGGCAGCCAUCCUGGACUCGAUACAGGGGGCUGUCACAUUGGACUGUUCUGCAAACACCACCAGUGACAUUUGACCCAGAGCUGUCAAUGCCUGUUGGCUGCUGGCCCCUGCUGAUGGGCCCGCUCACUCUUUCAGAAAGGUGUGAAGUGGUGUGGCUGAUACAGGCUGGAACACUGACCUGAUAAAUCUGUCGCUGAAGAAUCCCAGGGAACCUUAGGAGAAGUAGGGUUGGGGCAAUAGUUCUGCAUCUUGUGGAGAUGCUCUCCCACUGAAUGUUUCUGCUCUAUGUGCCCAUUAGGAACAGAACUCUUCAGGCUGACUUCAGCCUGGCUGGAUGCAGAAAUACCCUCAACAGAGAUCCCAGAGUAUUCAGCCAAGAGCCUGCCUCUCUGUAUUACCCAUGCCUUUUGUUUUUUGUAUUCUGAUGCUUUGACAUCAGGGGUCUUGCUGACCCUGGAGGGGCUGCCCCUCCCAGGGCCAACCAAUCCCUGGAGAUAGCAAAGGGCUCACCUGCAAGCUGCAAGCAUGCCUUUCCUAUGCAAACCAACCGAAGCAGGGCCCAGCCUCUCAGCAGCUCCUCUAUGGGGCUUUUACAUUCUAGGCCACUGUCCCCUGCCUUCAUCACCCCAGGACCAGGUACAGAUUAAGAACAGCCCUAUGCCCCAGAGCCUGUUGAAAUUUAUUCAGACUAGCCAAUCCUAAGCCUUUUUACCCUGCCUCACACACUUCUCACAAAAACCACAAUGAAGGCUCUGGCCCAUAGCCCCCUUCCUUCUGCCUUCUGGCCCACCGUGGUGCUUCCCUAUAUGGCCCACUCGGUGCGAUGCAGCCCCUCCUCAUGGGAACUGUGAGUAACAAGCUGUCUUUUUCAUGGCAGUUGUCUCCUGAUCUGUUGGCCCCAUCACACCUGAAUCAUAAUAAAACCUAUAUUAUAUUUUAAUUUGUGUUUUUUUAAAUCCUAGACAUUUAAUCGUACAUUUUGCAUCUGUUUCCUAAAUGACAAUACUACACUGCAGAGAAUAAUAAUUAUAUGUGGUCAGAAUGCCUCUUGUUCCAUAACGCUAAGCUAAUAUUGGUAGAAUUAUUUACUUGAACUCAGGUCUUCAGCACCAUGCUGCUAAAUUAGAAGUUCCUUGACUCAUUAAAAAUAACCUCAGUUUAGAUUUUCCAUUUAAUGCAGCAGUUAAUUUAGAAGGUCUUAAAUGAAAUUUGUUUGUGUCUUGAAAUUACUGGUUGUUUACAUUUUAAUUGAUACUUUACUGCCAUUUACGGUGUUCAGAAAAUAUGGCCUGUUGAAUUUCUGUCUCUAAUUCAGUAACAGUUUUUAGUCCUAAAAACUUUCCAUUUAACAUAUUAAUACUUUUGUCUGGUAUUUGAAAAGAAUUCACAUCUUCUAUUUAUUGGUUAAAAAUGCUGCCCAUUUAUUUCUAUGAUUAAUUAGUCAAACUUUCUAAUAAAAUUAUAUAACACUCUUUGUGUUCAUUUAUUUGCUGUACACCAAAACCCAUUAAAAUGGUUUUUUCUUUGUAAUAAAAAAUAAUUUCAACUUUUAUUUUAGAUUCAGGGGGUAUAUGUUCAGGUUUGUUACAUUGGAUAUAUUUUGCAAUGCUGGGGUUUGGGGUGUGGAUGAUCUCAUUGUCCAGGAAGUGAGCAAUUAGCACCCAGUAGGUGGGGUUUCAGCCUUUGCCCCCCUUCCUCUCUCCCCAUCUUGUAGUCCCCAGUGUCUAGUGUUCCUAUCUUUAUGUCCAUGUGUACCCAAUAUUUAGCUCCCACUUAUAAGUGAGAACAUGAGUAUUUAAACCCCCCAUUUAAAAACUCUCCCUUCCAGUGCUGCUGGCCAAG